rnacentral:rRNA from 1 species
UACGGAGGGUGCAAGCGUUAUCCGGAUUCACUGGGUUUAAAGGGUGCGUAGGCGGAUUAGUAAGUCCGUUGUGAAAUCUCUGAGCUUAACUCGGAAAUUGCGGUGGAUACUAUUAGUCUUGAAUACUGUGGAGGUUAGCGGAAUAUGUCAUGUAGCGGUGAAAUGCAUAGAUAUGACAUAGAACACCAAUUGCGAAGGCAGCUGGCUACACAGAUAUUGACGCUGAGGCACGAAAGCGUGGGGAGCAAACAGG